UUCCAGCCAAUCAGCAGCAGACCCUCCCUCUCAGACCCUCCCACCUCCUGGACAGCAUCCAUUUUGAAGCUUCAUUCUUAGUGAGCUGUCCAGGAGGUGGGAGGGUCUGGGAGGGAGGGUCUGCUGCUGAUUGCCUGG